rnacentral:lncRNA from 1 species
ACCGAGGAGGCGUCAUGUACACUGGGAAGAAAGGAGACCUCAGGACAGAACUCUGGGAAACAGCCUCCAAUGGGCAAGCAAAGGGGCUUAAAGACAAGUGGAAAGAGAGGGCUAGGAGGCUGGUGCCAUGGAAGGCAAGAGAAAGGAAUUUUAUGUGCUGGUGAAAAACGUUACUAAGUAUUUUCCUUCUUCAUUUAUAGAGUAU